rnacentral:tRNA from 1 species
GGGGAUUAGCUCAGUUGGCUAGAGCACUUGAUUUGCAUUCAAGAGGUCAUCGGUUCGACUCCGAUAUUCUCC